AUUGAACGCUGGCGGCAGGCCUAACACAUGCAAGUCGAACGAGUGGCGGACGGGUGAGUACUGUCUGGGAAACUGCCUGAUGGAGGGGGAUAACUACUGGAAACGGUAGCUAAUACCGCAUACCAUCAGAUGUGCCCAGAUGGGAUUAGCUUGUUGGUGGGGUAACGGCGAACCUAGGCGACGAUCCCUAGCUGGGCUGAGAGGAUGACCAGCCACACUGGAACUGAGACACGGGCCAGACUCCUACGUGAUGCAGCAGUGGGGAAUAGUGCACAAUGAGCGCAAGCCUGAUUGAGCCAUGCCGCGUGUAUUAAGAAGGCCUUCGGGUUGUAAAGUACUUUCAGCGGGGAGGCGUUACCCGCAGAAGAAGCACCAGCUAACUCCGUGCCAGCAGCCGCGGUAAUUC
rnacentral:rRNA from 1 species